AAAUAUUGCUACUUAGUUUUGGUCAGCUGAAAAGAUGCAUUCCUCCAAUGGGACAGAACCCACAUGAAUUUACAGAAACAUCCAGGGGUCGAAGUUCAGCUGCAUCCACCCUAGAACCCAGAGGCUGCACCGAAAGACCAUGGUUUAUUCUCAUCCAUAGCCAACUUCUAGCUACCCCGAUGGCAGGUUAACACGUUCGGUAAAGUCCAAACAACCUGUGAGAGGUUCUCUCCUUCCAGAUUCGAAGAUUGCCUCCAGAAAGACAGAAGAGCAACAAGGUAAUUCAGCCAGAGUCGGCUUGAUUCCCUCUUCUCUGACUCCUGUGCAUCCCCUUCACACACCAUCCGAGCAUUUUCCUCAUCUUACAAACACCUGGGGACUCCGGCCCUCACAGAAACUCCCCUGGCUCCUCGCCAGGAAACAACAAGCCUAAGAAGAAAAGAAAAUAAAUAAACAACGACAGCGACGUCUCAUACGUUGAGGUCUCCUAUGUUGAGGUGCUGGAAAUGAAUUCCAAGUGGGAACUGCACUCAAAACCAAAUGUUUGGCUUUCAGUGACAACCAGCUACUUGGCUGAAAGCCCCAGCACCCCCGAGACCACUUAGGAGCGUGGGCCCAGAGCGCUUCCUGAGAACCGCAGCCUGCCCCACGCCUUCCCGAGGCAAGGAAGGAAUCGCUGCCAAGAGAAAACAACCUGGCUUCCCCCUACUACCUCAAGGCUGUUUGUGCUCGCUGUUCUUCUACCUUGGGAACGUUCCAAAUAGCUCCUCGGGAAUCAGACGGCGGCGUUUGGAGGGAGUUUACUCAAACUGGCAGAUCAGCACCUGUCCGUGUGUGUCUCUCUCUCACACACACAAAAUCAGACUCUCACCUGAUGCCUUGCUGCUGCUCGCAUUCCACGGGAAUUUAUGUCCAGCAGCAUGGAGCUGCUUCUGCGCCCUGAGCCUGGGCACAGGACAAGCUUCUGGGGAAUGCAUGAAAUUGGGAAGAGGAGCUGAGGGGCACUGGGAGGGGGCCCUGGGGAAAACACGCAAAGCGAAAGAAAACAUUUUCCAUGCACUUGACUCAGCUAGACGAAGCUCCUGGAAAAAUGCUAAUGAGGCUGCUCUGGCCCACGGUCACGGAAAGCCAGGUUCAAGGCCUCAGUUCCUCUGUCCAGUGCUACAGCAUUUGGGUUUUGCCCUUUUCCUUUCAUGGAUACCCCCUGUGGCAAGGUAUCCAUGACAACACAGCAGGCCCACCUUCCCAACUACUGUGCUUGGUUUCAGCACAGACUGAUGACAGCACCACACUCUAACUACGUGUGACGGGCACACGCAGACCAGGGGAGUUCCAGAGCUCAGACCAGGGGCAGCAUCACCAGCCACACGUGCAUGUUAGCAAAUGUGUUUCCCACGUGGGGUGCACCUUCCACAGCCUCCAGUGACGGAGGUGCCCACUUCAGUGGGCAAACCACACAAGCCUGGAUGAAAGACUGGCAAACUUCUUCCAUGUGUCGCUGUCCCUGACACCCUCAGUCACCAGGCAAGGGCAAGAGAACCAAUGGAAAAGCUGGACCCAGGCAGAAGCCUUGAUUGCAUGGACAAGGCGGCAUAAACACAGGAGGACGCUGCAAUGUUUUGUUUUUCCAGAUUUAAAGAAAUCUUUUCUCUUAAGCUAUCAACAAUUUGGUAAGAUAUACCUUUGUGAACAAAGAUGAAACAUUUAUUUUUCUCCUUACUUGAUCCCUCCAGAAUUCAGAAAUUCUGUGAGCCUUCUUAUUUUUAUGACAAUAUAUUUAUUUGCAUAAGUUCAAUAAUAAUCUCUUCUCCUUGCAACAAAACACAAUGGGAAACACUGGCUGUGUGGCUGAGGCUUUGACUGGAAUGUUGUAUUUGAGGGAGAUGUGCGUGGACUCAGAUAUGAUCAGACAGCUUCAAGGAACUGCUUUGGAAAACCGACCUGGUGCCCUGCCUUACAAGGCCCCAGAAAAGCAGCCUGAAGAAGAACCUACAUAUUCUCACUACGCUUACGUAAGUAAUCAGGCCAAACUUAAUGCAGACAAAUUUAGUUUCACUGAGAUUUUCUUCAAUAAAAAUAUAUACAGGUGA